rnacentral:rRNA from 1 species
AACAGGAUUCCCCUAGUAACUGCGAGUGAAGCGGGAAAAGCUCAAAUUUAAAAUCUGGCAGUCUUUGGCUGUCCGAGUUGUAAUCUAGAGAAGUAUUAUCCGCGCUGGACCGUGUACAAGUCUCCUGGAAUGGAGCGUCAUAGAGGGUGAGAAUCCCGUCUUUGACACGGAUUGCCAGGGCUUUGUGAUGUGCUCUCGAAGAGUCGAGUUGUUUGGGAAUGCAGCUCAAAAUGGGUGGUAAAUUCCAUCUAAAGCUAAAUAUUGGCGAGAGACCGAUAGCGAACAAGUACCGUGAGGGAAAGAUGAAAAGAACUUUGGAAAGAGAGUUAAACAGUACGUGAAAUUGCUGAAAGGGAAACGCUUGAAGUCAGUCGCGUUGGCCAGGGAUCAACCUUGCUUUUUUGCUUGGCUUACUUUCUGGUCGAUGGGUCAGCAUCAAUUUUGACUGGUGGAAAAAGUUCAAGGGAAUGUGGCAUCUUCGGAUGUGUUAUAGCCUUUGUUCAUAUAUAUCAGUUGGGAUUGAGGAACUCAGCACGCCGCAAGGCCGGGUUUUUAACCACGUACGUGCUUAGGAUGCUGGCAUAAUGGCUUUAAUCGACCCGUCUUGAAACACGGACCAAGGAGUCUAACAUGCCUGCGAGUGUUUGGGUGAAAAACCCGAGCGCGUAAUGAAAGUGAAAGUUGAGAUCCCUGUCGUGGGGAGCAUUGACGCCCGGAUCUGACCUUUUGUGACGAUUCUGCGGUAGAGCAUGUAUGUUGGGACCCGAAAGAUGGUGAACUAUGCCUGAAUAGGGUGAAGCCAGAGGAAACUCUGGUGGAGGCUCGUAGCGAUUCUGACGUGCAAAUCGAUCGUCAAAUUUGGGUAUAGGGGCGAAAGAC